CUCUCUCUGCGGAAGCCAGCCACCGCUCUCCAAGGACUCUCGAGCAGCUCCAUCUACAGAUUCACAUGGAGAAGAAUUAAGGGUUCCUGCCAAUCACCAGCACCACUUUGCCAGCCUUGUAAGUGGGCCACCUUGGAAUUGGAGCCUCCAGUUCCUACUGACAUCUGACUGCAACAUCAUGAGAGACCCUGAGUUUGAACCACCCAGCUGAGCUGCUUCUGAGCUAACCCACUGAAACCGUGAAAGUACCUGAAUGAAACAACACCCAGUAGCCACUAGCACACCUAGCUCCCAGAUCUGUUUUUGAUGCCAUUCUUCAGUAAAAGGAAGCAAGGCUGCUUGGAGAAAUUGCUAUCAAGGACUGGGGUAGAAAAUAUACAAGAUGAAAUUGGAGCAUCUUGUAGUGCUUGAAAACAGUUGGCAUCUGUGUGAAGAUGUGAAUGGAGGAGGCAGAGUAGGCAGUGAGUGCCGCAGCCACAGCUUGUGUUCUCUGCAGCCCUGGCACAGAAGAUAGGAACACUCAUGGGGGAUGCGGCCACUGUGAUGUCUUCCCACACAAGAAGUGCCAAGUGCUUUUCUCAUGCUUUUCUGGAUUGUCCCAUGGUGGACGAGUCAGCAGGAGUGAGAUGGAGCAGCACAGUAGAGGGGUACCUGGCAAGGCCCGGAGGGAGGACCCCCUGCCCCAAACAUUUCAAUGAUAUCAGGUGUGCCACCUCUUUGAUCCAGCAAGUGGGAAGAACAGUCCCGGCCUCUUUGCACACAAGACCGUGAUACCAAUGCACCAUCACAGGCCCCACAGGGGAGCUGUCCGCUUCCCCACACAGCUGCUAGGGGCUCUUUUGCAUGUUCCCAACCUUUCCUGCCUUUAUCUGAUAUUCGUUCCUUAGAUCCUGGGAUGAGGAGGUGGACCAGCAGAAGGUGGGCUUGUGAAGGCAGCCCGGGGUCCAAAUCCUCCUGGCUCUUCAGCUUAGCGGGUUAGUUAACAUUCAGAAGCCUUCAUCUCCCAUCUGCAAAAUGGGCAUGUCCAACUCAGAAGCUGCCUUGAAGAAAGGGUCUACCCAGCAUGGUGCGUGGAGCCUAAGCAGUCAGUACUUCAGGACUUCACCCGGCCCCUUUCCAAUAACUGCUGCUGUCGCCCUCACAGGAUGUCACCUUCAGCGUCUGAAAGCUGGGUUUGAUGCGUCUGGAAAGGCGUCCCUGACAGGCGUCGUUGCCAGGAGCCCCUAGUGCCACCAGCAGCCAGCAGGGGAGGGCGUCCUCUGCCCGCUCACUUCUGACCCUUCUCUCGUUGCACCCGGAACAUGGUGCAGCUGGGAGCAGCCUGGGCUGCGCGGAAGGCUCAGAUUUGGGGACGGCCCUUGCCAGUGACUGUGAGCUGGGGUGUCUUGGAAACUCCCAGUCUCAGCUUCUCCAUUUAUAAGAUGAGAAUGAUCAUACCAGACUCAGGCAAGGUUGUUUGUGCAUUAGUGAAAUCAGACGUAUUAAAUAAAGUACCACAUUGAUCGUGGAGUUGUUGAAUAACCAAGAA
rnacentral:lncRNA from 1 species